ACCCGGGUGGCGGAAUUGGUAGACGUGUACGCUUGAGGGGCGUAUGUCCUAUGGACGUGUGGGUUCGACUCCCAUCCCGGGUA
rnacentral:tRNA from 1 species